AUUUCCCAGGCAAGAAAACUGGAGUGGGUUGCCAUUUCCUAUUCCAGAGAUCUUCCCGACCCAGGGAUCAAACUCGUCUCUUGCCUCUCCUGCAUUGGCAGUGGGCAGUGCCAAAUACAAUCAUGUCAAAUAAAAGUGACUUGAAAUGUAUGAUUCUUUGGGCACAUAUGGAUCCUGCUAAUUUUGCUAAAGUAAUCUUCUGGAAGUUCUAGAGCUUUAAUCAAAAACCUUCUAUGACUCUCUAUUGCCAACAAAAUUACAGCCUGUCUCUUCUCUGGCAUUAAAUGCCCCUGUAACAUCAUUACGUUUGCAUUUCUAGCCUCAUGUCCAAAGGCUACUGAACAAGCUGUCUUUAGCUGCUGAUCUGUUAUUAUUUGGAAUAUGUUUAUUUAGAAGAGGGAGUCUACACUGUCCUCUCUGUCUUUCUCUAUCUUUUCUUUCUUUCUAUAUAAAUUAGAAUGUACUAGAAAAUAUAGCUAAAACAGAAGGUUGGGGUUUUUGUUCUUUUGUUUAUGUAACAAGUCUGUAAGUAAAGACUUGCUGGUAUUUUCUCAGGGUUUCAGUGACGUCACAGCUCUGCAAUUCACUUGACCUUUAACUCAUGAUUGCAGAAUGGCUGCCACACUUUAAGUAUCACAUCUUCACCUUGGUGCAGAAGUGAAAAAAUAGGCAGAAACUUGAUCCUCAUCAGCCUGACUCAUGUCAAGGAGGUAAAAUAUUUUCCGAAAGCACCCCACCAAAGGAUUUCCGCUCACAUCUCAUCAGUCAGAAUGUUGAUAUAGUUUAGGAACUGGGCCCAUUUUUCCACAUCAAAGAGAAUCUUCUCAAUGCCUAAAACUGAAAUUCUGUUUAGCCAGGAGGAAAUGAGGGGGUGACUUUUACUUAGACAGUGAAUUCUGCCACAUCUCCCAGUUUGCACCUCAGCAUAUGCAAACUAGUUUGUCCCUAUCACACUCUUGAAACACCUUUGACUGCUAUCGUCAUUGACUUUUGAACUUUUUAAUCUAGUGAACACUGUUCCUUUUCUAACUUGCUUGAGCGUCUUCUGGGACUUACCAACAUUCUCCUUGAAAUUUAUUCAUUCAUCAACUAUCCGCUCAUCACUUACUAUGUAUCAGGCAUUCUGAUAGGUGAGAGUACAGAACUGAAUCAGGCAUAGUCUUGGCCCUCCACAAGCUUAUAGUCAAGUGGAGAAGACAGGCGAACAGAUGUCAGAGCCUAACCACUCAGAAUGGCAGAAAGGACAUAUCUGGGGAGAUGCAAGCCUGUCUGCUGGACUGCAGGGUAAGACUGGGGAAGAGGUCAAGGCAUGAUGAAAGAGAUGGGGUUGGAGAGGUAAGUACCAGUUCACUGCACCCUUAGUGUUUCUGUACCAAUGCUCAAGACCAAGAGAAAUACCUAACAGUUCCAUUCAUUAAGUUGCCAGUUCCAAAUGCCAUAAUAGUAAUUUGUGCAGUGUCUGAUAGAUGUUGCUGCAUUUUCCUAAAAAAAAAUUAAAUAGUCUACAGCAAAUCUUAGGUCACUGUGUGGUGCCCAAGGGUGACUUGAUGCACAGUGUGGGAACCAUGC
ensembl:lncRNA